CUCCUGGUGGUCUAGUGGCUAGUAUUCGGCGCUCCACCGCCGCGCCCGGGUUCGAUUCCGGGCAGGGAAG